rnacentral:rRNA from 1 species
GAUGAACGCUGACAGAAUGCUUAACACAUGCAAGUCGAUGGGGAAGUGGUGCUUGCACCAUGGCAACCAUGGCGGACGGGUGAGUAACGCGUAAGGGACUUACCUGCAGGACUGGGAUAACAGGGGGAAACUCCUGACAAGACCGGAUAAUGUCAUGGAGCUGCAUGGCUUUAUGAUGAAAGGAGACGCCUGCGGAGAGCCUUGCGUCCUAUUAGCUAGUUGGUGAGGUAAUGGCUCACCAAGGCGAAGAUAGGCAGCCGGCCUGAGAGGGUGGACGGCCACAAGGGGACUGAGAUACGGCACUUACUCCUACGGGAGGCAGCAGUGGGGAAUAUUGGAAAAUGGGGGCAACCCUGAUCCAGCAAUUCUGUGUGCACGAAGAAGGUUUUCGGAUUGUAAAGUGCUUUCAGCAGGGAAGAAGUAAGUGACGGUACCUGCAGAAGAAGCGACGGCUAAAUACGUG